GAAUUCUUUUGCUGUUUUGCCAAUCGAGAAGAUUCAAUUAGUUUGGGAGGAAGCAGACGUGAUGAAUGUCUUAGACCAGUAUAGGCUCCAAAACCUUCGGUGGUGUUGCAACAACCGGAAAGAUUGGUGGUUCCUCGUAAACUGGGGUAGGUGUCAACGGAGCAGAAGAAACAUCUGCUUCAGUUUUACUCUUUUCAGGCUCCAUCUCUAUUUUAGCAGGUCUGUUAUCCACAAUGCUUGAAUUCUUCUUUCUUGCCUUUGCAAACAUGUAAGCUGCAACAGGGAGAAAGAAUGUCAGCUAAUUCCAAAAGUGCACUCAAAAUUAAGCAAAUUAUAUGUCCCAUAAUAAAGCCAUAAACCUUCCAAUUCAGAUCA